GUUUGUUACCUGGAUUCAAAUAUGUUGCUCAUUUUGAGUAGUUGUUACUAGAUUUGAAUAUUGAAGGAUUAGAGAAGAUCAUUCAAAGUUUAAGUUUAGAGCUGAAUAUUUAAAGCGUAGAAUGGCUAUUUACAUUUUAGAGAUAUGUGUAGCAAUGAUAUGUGUAUGUAUUAUAUCUGUAUGACAUCACUCCUUUUGGAAAUAUGGUAUGGUCUGUGUCAUCCAUGUGGGUCAAUUCGGAUCCAUUAGAUUUAAAAUCAAAACCAAGAACAAUCACAUGAAAUGUCAUAUACAUUGUCAAAAGGUGUCAAAAUCCAAAAGUCAUGUAUCGCCAAAAGUGGUAAAAUCCAAAAGUCAUGUACAUUGUUUAAAAGAUAUAACUGCAUAAAGAGAUACAACUUUACUAAAUAAUUAUAUACAUAAAGUGAUACAAUUAUUGGUCAAAAGGUGCCAUGAUUUAUCAAUAGUCAAGUUUUUGUUUUCAUUUGUGAAAUAAAGAAAAAAUGCGUAUAGAAAAGUGUGAAGUGUGUACAAGUGAUUGUACAUUGACUUUUGUUCUUAGUAUCCUUAAAAGACU
rnacentral:misc_RNA from 1 species